GACGAACGCUGGCGGCGUGCCUAACACAUGCAAGUCGAGCGGAGAUGAUGUGAGGAAGUUUUCGGAUGGAAUCACAUUAUUUUAGCGGCGGACGGGUGAGUAACGCGUGAGCGACCAACCUUGCACAGGGGGAUAACGGACCGAAAGGUUCACUAAUACCGCAUGAGACCACGGUGUUGCAUGACACAGGGGGUCAAAGGAGCAAUCCGGUGCAAGACGGGCUCGCGUCCGAUUAGGUAGUUGGAGGGGUAACGGCCCACCAAGCCUAUGAUCGGUAGCCGACCUGAGAGGGUGAUCGGCCACAUUGGAACUGAGAUACGGUCCAAACUCCUACGGGAGGCAGCAGUGGGGAAUAUUGGGCAAUGGGGGAAACCCUGACCCAGCAACGCCGCGUGAAGGAAGAAGGUUUUCGGAUUGUAAACUUCUGUCCUUGGUGAAGAGAAGAAGACGGUAGCCAAGGAGGAAGCCCCGGCUAACUACGUGCCAGCAGCCGCGGUAAUGUAUCG
rnacentral:rRNA from 1 species